AGGAGCCGUAUGAAAUGAAAAUUUCAUGUACGGUUUUGAUUGAUCUACGAUUGAAUAAUAU
rnacentral:ncRNA from 1 species